AGUACUAGGACUGUCAAUGGGCCGAACACAAGCAAGCUGGUGUCAUCUCGCGUUCGCUUGUUUAUUAAACAAGCUAACCACGGCUUGGUUCGUUAAAGUAUCGAGUUGAAAAAUUCAAUUCAUAUUCAGCUUAUUUAUUAAUAAGCCGAACACGAGCUCCCUAACUCGUGUUCGAUUCUUUAAGAUUUGAGCUGAAAAAGUUAAUUCGUGUUUAACUUGUUUAUUAACUGAGCGAUUGAUUUCAAACUCAUUUCAAGUCGAAUGCGAGCUGUUUGGUAAACAACGAGCUGGAUUGCCAGUUCUUUUAAGUACUGUCGCAAAUACAAGAAAAAAAAAAUAGAAUGCAUCAGUUAUAUUGCUGAUGUGGUGUCACAAACUAAUCAGAUUCUUUUUUUUUGAAUUUAUGCAUCCCAUCAUGGUUAAUAAAAAAAUAUUUUAAUUAUAUUUUU
rnacentral:lncRNA from 1 species